AAAAUCCUCCUUACAUUACAUUGUUAUGAAAUGUUCUGUUGCCAUUCCGUUUAAUUUAUAGCUCUAGUUCCACAAUAGGGGAUGAAUAACGUAAUUAGGAAAAUAUCGUUAUUUACCUUAGAUAAAUAUUGGAUCGUGUGGCACCCCCCACGUGGUCGUGUGGCCCCCCCUAGCGGUUGUGGCCCUAAACAACCGCAUAGAUCGUUUAUGCCACGGGCCAGCCCUGUCUUUUAAAUAAGUCUUUUAGGCAUGAAUGAGGUCCAAUCAUCAUGAUUAAAAUCAUCAUGUUUUCUUUUCAGGAUUAAAUUUCAAUCCACUGUUACUUAUUAUCGUCAUAGGACUUAUUUGUCUGUAUGUGCUGACUGUUGGAUUCUGUAUCCACAAAAAUAAAAGGUUGUCUAGAAGACUGAAGGGAGGGAGGGACGGGGACACAUAUGCCAGUCUGCAGCUCCCCAACAUCAGCCCUGAAUAUGACGUGCUGCAGGU